CCUACGGGUGGCAGCAGUGGGGAAUAUUGGUCAAUGGGCGAGAGCCUGAUGCAGCCAAGCCGCGUGAAGGAUGAAGGACCUCUGGUUUGUAAACCUCUUUUAUAUGGGAAUAAAGUGAGGAACGUGUUCCUUUUUGUAUGUACCAUAUGAGUAAGCAUCGGCUAAAUCAGGGCCAGCAGCCGCGGUAAUACGGAGGAUGCGAGCGUUAUCCGGAUUUAUUGGGUUUAAAGGGUGCGCAGGUGGUUAAUUACGUCAGCGGGGAAAGUUUGUGGCUCAACCAUAAAAUUGCAGUUGAAACUGGUUGGCUUGAGUGUAGUAGAGGGAGGCGGAAUUCGUGGUGUAGCGGUGAAAUGCAUAGAGAUCAGGAAGAACUCCGAUUGCGAAGGCAGCCUACUGGACUAUAACUGACGCUGAGGCACGAAAGCGUGGGGAGCAAACAGGAUUAGAUACCCCGGUAGUC
rnacentral:rRNA from 1 species